rnacentral:rRNA from 1 species
AUGAACGCUGGCUACAGGCUUAACACAUGCAAGUCGAGGGGAAACGACGGGGAAGCUUGCUUCCCCGGGCGUCGACCGGCGCACGGGUGAGUAACGCGUAUCCAACCUGCCUCUGACUGAGGGAUAACCCGUCGAAAGUCGGCCUAAUACCUCAUGGUAUCGUCUGCGGGCAUCCAACGACGAUUAAAGAUUUCAUCGGUCAGGGAUGGGGAUGCGUCUGAUUAGCUUGUUGGCGGGGUAACGGCCCACCAAGGCUACGAUCAGUAGGGGUUCUGAGAGGAAGGUCCCCCUCAUUGGAACUGAGACACGGUCCAAACUCCUACGGGAGGCAGCAGUGAGGAAUAUUGGUCAAUGGGCGAGAGCCUGAACCAGCCAAGUAGCGUGCAGGAAGACGGCCCUAUGGGUUGUAAACUGCUUUUAUGCGGGGAUAAAGUGAGGGACGUGUCCCUCAUUGCAGGUACCGCAUGAAUAAGGACCGGCUAAUUCCGUG